GACGAACGCUGGCGGCGUGCUUAACACAUGCAAGUCGAACGGUGAACGAGGGAGCUUGCUCCCUCCGGAUCAGUGGCGAACGGGUGAGUAACACGUGAGCAAUCUGCCCCGAACUCUGGGAUAAGCGUUGGAAACGACGUCUAAUACCGGAUACGACGCGGGAGGGCAUCCUCUCCGCGUGGAAAGAACUUCGGUUCGGGAUGAGCUCGCGGCCUAUCAGCUUGUUGGUGAGGUAACGGCUCACCAAGGCGACGACGGGUAGCCGGCCUGAGAGGGUGACCGGCCACACUGGGACUGAGACACGGCCCAGACUCCUACGGGAGGCAGCAGUGGGGAAUAUUGCACAAUGGGCGCAAGCCUGAUGCGGCAACGCCGCGUGAGGGACGACGGCCUUCGGGUUGUAAACCUCUUUUAGCAGGGAAGAAGCGAAAGUGACGGUACCUGCAGAAAAAGCACCGGCUAACUACGUG
rnacentral:rRNA from 1 species